rnacentral:rRNA from 1 species
UUAAUUGAAGAGUUUGAUCAUGGCUCAGAUUGAACGCUGGCGGCAGGCCUAACACAUGCAAGUCGAGCGGCAGCGACUUAACUGAACCUUCGGGGAAUGUUAAGGGCGGCGAGCGGCGGACGGGUGAGUAAUGCCUGGGAAUAUGCCCUGAUGUGGGGGAUAACUAUUGGAAACGAUAGCUAAUACCGCAUAAUCUCUUCGGAGCAAAGAGGGGGACCUUCGGGCCUCUCGCGUCAGGAUUAGCCCA